CACGUAGGGGGCGAGCGUUGUCCGGAUUUAUUGGGCGUAAAGAGCUCGUAGGCGGCGCGGUAAGUCGGGUGUGAAAUCUCGGAGCUUAACUCCGAAACUGCAUUCGAUACUGCCGUGCUUGAGGACUGGAGAGGAGACUGGAAUUUACGGUGUAGCGGUGAAAUGCGUAGAUAUCGUAAGGAAGACCAGUGGCGAAGGCGGGUCUCUGGACAGUUCCUGACGCUGAGGCACGAAGGUCAGGGGAGCAAACGGG
rnacentral:rRNA from 1 species